rnacentral:rRNA from 1 species
AGUGAACGCUGGCGGUAGGCCUAACACAUGCCAGUCGAACGGCAGCACAGGAGAGCUUGCUCUCUGGGUGGCGAGUGGCGGACGGGUGAGGAAUACAUCGGAAUCUACCUUUUCGUGGGGGAUAACGUAGGGAAACUUACGCUAAUACCGCAUACGACCUACGGGUGAAAGUGGGGGACCGCAAGGCCUCACGCGAUUAGAUGAGCCGAUGUCCGAUUAGCUAGUUGGCGGGGUAAUGGCCCACCAAGGCGACGAUCGGUAGCUGGUCUGAGAGGAUGAUCAGCCACACUGGAACUGAGACACGGUCCAGACUCCUACGGGAGGCAGCAGUGGGGAAUAUUGGACAAUGGGCGCAAGCCUGAUCCAGCUAUACCGCGUGGGUGAAGAAGGCCUUCGGGUUGUAAAGCCCUUUUGUUGGGAAAGAAAUCCUGUCGAUUAAUACUCGGUGGGGAUGACGGUACCCAAAGAAUAAGCACCGGCUAACUUCGUG